UACGUAGGGGGCUAGCGUUGUCCGGAAUCAUUGGGCGUAAAGCGCGUGUAGGCGGUCCGGUAAGUCCGCUGUGAAAGUCGGGGGCUCAACCCUCGGAUGCCGGUGGAUACUGUCGGGCUUGAGUACGGAAGAGGCGAGUGGAAUUCCUGGUGUAGUGGUGAAAUACGUAGAUAUCUGGAGGAACACCGGUGGCGAAGGCGGCGAUCUGGCCCAACAUUGACACUGAGACCCGAAAGCGUGGGGAUCAAACAGG
rnacentral:rRNA from 1 species